rnacentral:rRNA from 1 species
AGAUUGAACGCUGGCGGCAUGCUUUACACAUGCAAGUCGAACGGUAACAGGCCGCAAGGUGCUGACGAGUGGCGAACGGGUGAGUAAUGCAUCGGAACGUGCCCAGUCGUGGGGGAUAACGCAGCGAAAGCUGUGCUAAUACCGCAUACGAUCUAUGGAUGAAAGCGGGGGACCGAAAGGCCUCGCGCGAUUGGAGCGGCCGAUGUCAGGUUAGCUAGUUGGUGGGGUAAAGGCCCACCAAGGCGACGAUCUGUAGCUGGUCUGAGAGGACGACCAGCCACACUGGAACUGAGACACGGUCCAGACUCCUACGGGAGGCAGCAGUGGGGAAUUUUGGACAAUGGGCGCAAGCCUGAUCCAGCAAUGCCGCGUGCAGGAAGAAGGCCUUCGGUUGUAAACUGCUUUUGUACGGAACGAAACGGUCUGGUUAAUACCUCGGACUAAUGACGGUACCGUAAGAAUAAGACACCGGCUAACUACGUGCCAGCAGCCGCGUAACG